rnacentral:rRNA from 1 species
UACGUAGGGUGCAAGCGUUGUCCGGAAUUAUUGGGCGUAAAGAGCUCGUAGGCGGCCUGUCGCGUCGGAUGUGAAAGCCCGGGGCUUAACCCCGGGUCUGCCGUGCCGACUGUCAAACUCGAGGCUGUAGAGGCAGACGGAAUUCCGGGUGUAGCGGUGGAAUGCGUAGAGAUCCGGAGGAAGACCGGUGGCGAAGGCGGUCUGCUGGGCAGUUUCUGACACUGAUGCGCGACAGCGUGGGGAGCAA